rnacentral:rRNA from 1 species
UGGGGAAUAUUGCACAAUGGGCGGAAGCCUGAUGCAGCGACGCCGCGUGGGGGAUGACGGCCUUCGGGUUGUAAACCUCUUUCAGUGCAGAACAAGGCUCUUUGUGGGUUGAGGGUAUGCGCAGAAGAAGCGCCGGCUAACUACGUGCCAGCAGCCGCGGUAAUACGUAGGGCGCGAGCGUUGUCCGGAUUUAUUGGGCGUAAAGAGCUCGUAGGCGGUUUGUCGCGUCUGCUGUGAAAUCCUCUGGCUUAACUGGGGGCGUGCAGUGGGUACGGGCAGACUGGAGUGCGGUAGGGGAGACUGGAAUUCCUGGUGUAGCGGUGGAAUGCGCAGAUAUCAGGAGGAACACCGGUGGCGAAGGCGGGUCUCUGGGCCGUUACUGACGCUGAGGAGCGAAAGCAUGGGGAGCGAACAG